CACAGGCAUUAUAAAUACUGUAUAAAUCUGAACAGUUUUUAUUUAUCUUUUCCUCGGCUCUUUCUAUACUGUUGUUUCAAUCAAAUGUAUUUACUGUUUGUUUAUUUGUGUUAUUUGUUUGCUUGUAUUUAUUUCCACGGGUCCCAAGCUCCUUUGAAUGAACUUGACACAGCACCAAAGGGUUAACAUAUGCUGUAUACACUCUAAAAGAAUUACUAUAAAAAUUGUAUUUAACUCAGAGUGUAUACAGCAUACAUUAACCCUUCUGUGUCAAGUCCAUUUGAAGGACUUUAUUUUCCACAUGUGCAAUGGAGGAUGGUAGUUUGGCUGACCUCUCUGUCCUCUGUAGCAGCAUUUUAUACCAGCGGGGCCCUUGCUGUCAUAGAAACAGCAUGAGCAAGUGCUCUGAUUGGUGCGGAGCCCAGGAUCAUCCGUUGUUGCUCGCUGAGAGAAGUGCUGAGUGGACCCUCCUGUUGAAGCCCCCCUCUCCGUCCCCGCUCCGCCCCUGGAGCCGCUGCACUUCCCUUUGUCCCGCAGAUUUGUUUUUUUCCAUCCUGGUUGAACUUUCUAGCGUGACACUAAUAAGUCCAUAGCAUCAUAUAUGCGGCUUAGCAGGGCGCAGGGGGCAUAGCCUAACAAAUGUGUGGAGUCAAUUGGUUUCCCAAGGGGACGCUACUGAGAAGCUGGCUCACCAAGUCCCGACCCAGACUGCUGCUGCUCAUCGCCGGCUUGAAGAGGCCUCAGGUCACCCUCAUGCGCAGGAAAAGGAUGAAACGCACGAAAGUAGCAAAGGCCACGUAAGCGAACCUGCAGUCGUAUGCCGCAUUUCACUUGAGGUGCUGACGCAGAGAGAAGCUCCAUCUACCAUCGACAUGUGCGCAGAUCCAGAAACAGCGAAAGCAUCUCAGUCGUCUCUGCCAAACAUACGAACUAAACGCCAAAGCAGAAGCAGAAGAGGCUCAGAGUUUGUCGUGAAAAUGAGGGAUCUUCCACAAAGAUCCAGACCCCCCGACUAAGAUCCGGAGCCUCCCAGUGACAUUUGUUCCAUCUUUCCCUCAAAUACACUUCUGUCAUGCUUCAGUUCACUACACAGCGUGUGACAGCACAUUAUUGCUCUUGCUCUUUAAGUGCCUUUGGUUGACAGUGCUUUCAUGUGUUCUCUGGUCAGGAUUUCAGGGACUUUUAUUUUUGGAUUCCUAAUGAUGCGUGCGGGUGAAAAAGAAGAAAACUUGUGAAAAAAAGAAAGAAAAACUUAUGAUGAGCUAGUAACCAACAGCACACCAGUGGUUUUUUCAUACUGUUGAGCCGUCAGACUGACAGCUGGCGGUCCAUUACUGUGUCCAGAGGAGUAAAAUAAUUCAUUUAAAUGUCAAUAUAUAGAUAAAAAAUAGAUAUAUGAAAGUUAUAUCAAUCCAAAUGGACCAUUAAGUGGCCACUAUUAUCACUGAACAACUUUUAAAAAAUCAUUGUAGAAACAUUAUUAUUUUUAUUACAAACAAAUACAUAUAUAUACACAUUUUAUAUAUAUAUAUUUUAUCAUAUAAUUAAUUGGCUGUUAUUGAACAGGUCCACGUAAUUAUUUUUAAAAACUACAUUAAUAAUUGUUAGGUGAAUCUCAUAAAGCAUGUCAAGUCUGGCUCACAUAUCAAACAAAAUCCAUGGUAAAAAAAAUAUAUAUAUUGCAAUAAGAAAACGACCAGUUUUGUUAACAUAUUUUAUCGCAAAUGUUUUUCUUUUUUCCCCCGAUAUUCUCAUUACAUUCUCAAAGUACAGAAAAUUUGUGAACUAUAUUAAUAGUAGAUUUUUUUUUACUUAAAAAGUAUAGUAUUUCAAAAUAUAAAUUCACUUCAUUUAUUUAUUAUUUUAUCGUUUUUUUGCAAAAUAUAAUCCAUAUAUUUGAUAUGGUUAUAUGGUUUAAUACAUUUUAUUUUAGAAAUAUUCUUUUUCUAAUUCAAACUUGUUUUAUCUGACUUUGAGGCGACUCUGUGGCUUAGUUGAUAGUGGAGGUCUUAAUGCUCAGAUCCGGUUUUUUGCACUGUUGUUCACAUUGUCAUUUAAAUGCGACUUGUGUGAGCCCUGAAAUGACCCGCAUGCGCAGAAGACGACGUGAUGUCAGACACAGUGCACUGUGUUUGUGGGAAUAAAAAUCUUUCCGCCUCCUCCAUUGCAGAAUUGUGACAUCUGUUGCAUUUCAGUGAUGUGCAAACCAUUUGAAAUGCGACAAGUCAUAUAUGUAUGCAAUUUAAGACCACAUAGGAAAGUGGCGUGGGCAUGAUUUGAAAAAAAUCUGAUUUUUGUUACGAGAAAAUCAGAUAUUGGUCACAUUUGAACAAAAAAGUCAGACUUGGGCCAGUUUAGCCCAUAAUGUGAACUAAGCCAAACAAUAUCUUGACAUUUUUUUGUGAGAUUCACCCAUUGCACUUGCUUCCAGUAAUUUCCAGCAACAAGCUACAGCAUGAGUCAAAACAGAUGCUUGCAUAGUUUGAAACUUAUUUUCUCUUUUGAACAAUUCUGUCUUUAGUGUUCAUAUUGUCUUCUAUCUCUAGCUACUAUGUUAAAGCGGACACACAGACUUGUUUGAAGAAUCGCAUACGUUUAAUUUCAGAGCAUUUUAAGAUUAUUUUCAUUUAUUCUUUGAAUAAACAAGGUAACACUUUAUAUUAAGUCGUCCCAUUUGUCCUUCGUUACAUAUAUACAGUAACAACAUAGUAAUGAGCAGUAAUUACACUGUUAUAAAACAAAAAUAUUAACUUUCUAAAAUAUAUAGACAUGAAUUAUAUCACUGGCAUCAGCUCCUUACAACAUUUGCAUAGCAAAUCAAUUAAGAAUUAAAUUAUCCAAAACUAAGCACUUAAUAUAAAGUGUGACCAAUGCAUGCAAAUUUGUAUAAUUUUGUGCUGUCAAAAUAUUAUUGCAUCCAAAAUAAGUUUAAAUAAUAUGUGUG